rnacentral:rRNA from 1 species
AUGCAAGUCGAGCGGUAGAGAGAAGCUUGCUUCUCUUGAGAGCGGCGGACGGGUGAGUAAUGCCUAGGAAUCUGCCUGGUAGUGGGGGAUAACGUUCGGAAACGGACGCUAAUACCGCAUACGUCCUACGGGAGAAAGCAGGGGACCUUCGGGCCUUGCGCUAUCAGAUGAGCCUAGGUCGGAUUAGCUAGUUGGUGGGGUAAUGGCUCACCAAGGCGACGAUCCGUAACUGGUCUGAGAGGAUGAUCAGUCACACUGGAACUGAGACACGGUCCAGACUCCUACGGGAGGCAGCAGUGGGGAAUAUUGGACAAUGGGCGAAAGCCUGAUCCAGCCAUGCCGCGUGUGUGAAGAAGGUCUUCGGAUUGUAAAGCACUUUAAGUUGGGAGGAAGGGCAGUAAAUUAAUACUUUGCUGUUUUGACGUUACCGACAGAAUAAGCACCGGCUAACUCUGUGCCAGCAGCCGCGGUAAUACAGAGGGUGCAAGCGUUAAUCGGAAUUACUGGGCGUAAAGCGCGCGUAGGUGGUUAGUUAAGUUGGAUGUGAAAUCCCCGGGCUCAACCUGGGAACUGCAUUCAAAACUGACUGACUAGAGUAUG